AACUAGCCCUGAUUACAAUGGAAAUUCUUUUAUAUUUUUUCUUUAAAAAUAUAAAAGAUUGAAAUGGAAAGCAGGAAUUAGC
rnacentral:sRNA from 1 species